GAACCGACUAAUGUUGAAAAAUUAGCGGAUGACCUGUGGCUGGGGGUGAAAGGCCAAUCAAACCGGGAGAUAGCUGGUUCUCCCCGAAAGCUAUUUAGGUAGCGCCUCGUGAAUUCAUCUCCGGGGGUAGAGCACUGUUUCGGCUAGGGGGCCAUCCCGGCUUACCAACCCGAUGCAAACUGCGAAUACCGGAGAAUGUUAUCACGGGAGACACACGGCGGGUGCUAACGUCCGUCGUGAAGAGGGAAACAACCCAGACCGCCAGCUAAGGUCCCAAAGUCAUGGUUAAGUGGGAAACGAUGUGGGAAGGCCCAGACAGCCAGGAUGUUGGCUUAGAAGCAGCCAUCAUUUAAAGAAAGCGUAAUAGCUCACUGGUCGAGUCGGCCUGCGCGGAAGAUGUAACGGGGCUAAACCAU
rnacentral:rRNA from 2 species